UACGGGGGGGCAAGCGUUGUUCGGAAUUACUGGGCGUAAAGGGCUCGUAGGCGGCCAACUAAGUCGGAUGUGAAAUCCCCAGGCUUAACCUGGGAACUGCAUCCGAUACUGGAUGGCUUGAAUCCGGGAGAGGGAUGCAGAAUUCCAGGUGUAGCGGUGAAAUGCGUAGAUAUCUGGAGGAAUACCGGUGGCGAAGGCGGCAUCCUGGACCGGCAUUGACGCUGAGGCACGAAAGCGUGGGGAGCAAACAGG
rnacentral:rRNA from 1 species